UACGUAGGGGGCAAGCGUUGUCCGGAAUCAUUGGGCGUAAAGCGCGCGUAGGCGGCCCGGUAAGUCCGCUGUGAAAGUCCAGGGCUCAACCCUGGAAAGCCGGUGGAUACUGCCGGGCUAGAGUCCGGAAGAGGCGAGUGGAAUUCCUGGUGUAGCGGUGGAAUGCGCAGAUAUCAGGAGGAACACCAAUAGCGAAGGCAGCUCGCUGGGACGGUACUGACGCUGAGGUGCGAAAGCGUGGGGAGCAAACGGG
rnacentral:rRNA from 1 species